rnacentral:rRNA from 1 species
UACAGAGGUCUCGAGCGUUGUUCGGAUUCAUUGGGCGUAAAGCGUGCGCAGGCGGUCUGUUAAGACCGAUGUGAAAUCCCCGGGCUUAACCUGGGAACUGCAUUGGUGACUGGCAGGCUUUGAGUGUGGCAGAGGGAGGUAGAAUUCCACGUGUAGCAGUGAAAUGCGUAGAGAUCAUGAGGAAGACCAGUGGCGAAGGCGGGUCUCUGGACAGUUCCUGACACUGAGGCACGAAGGCCAGGGGAGCAAACGGG